rnacentral:rRNA from 1 species
AGAGUUUGAUCCUGGCUCAGAUUGAACGCUGGCGGCAGGCCUAACACAUGCAAGUCGAGCGGCAGCACGGGAGCUUGCUCCUGGUGGCGAGCGGCGGACGGGUGAGGAACACGUGGGAAUCUACCUAUUGGUGGGGGAUAACUUGGGGAAACUCAAGGUAAUACCGCAUUAGCCCUACGGGGGAAAGCAGGGGACCUUCGGGCCUUGCGCCGAUAGAUGAGCCCGCGUCGGAUUAGCUUGUUGGUGAGGUAAAGGCUCACCAAGGCGACGAUCCGUAGCUGGUCUGAGAGGAUGAUCAGCCACACUGGGACUGAGACACGGCCCAGACUCCUACGGGAGGCAGCAGUGGGGAAUAUUGGACAAUGGGGGAAACCCUGAUCCAGCCAUGCCGCGUGUGUGAAGAAGGCCUUAGGGUUGUAAAGCACUUUCAGUGGGGAGGAAGGCUUCAGAUUAAUACUCUGGAGUACUUGACGUUACCCACAGAAGAAGCACCGCUA